ensembl:lncRNA
GUGACUGGCUGGCUGUGGGCAAAAAAAUAACUGUCUCCUUUGCAUUUUAUGGACAGAGAGUGACAGAGGGAGAGGCCAUCUUUAUUUGUCACUUAAUAGGUAACUUGGGCCUCCCUUCAGGGCAACCAGAUGUGUCUCUUGUCCUGACACCUCCAGUGUGGAUGACCGCCCAUCAAAUAAAGCAAGACAUUUCCCCAGAAGGGCCGAUUUACCUCAUACAGGUCAGCCCUGCACAUCAACCUGAGUCUGCUAAAGGCCACGCUCCUGCACUCUCUUUCCUGUUCUGGAAAAUGACACUGAAGCAGUAAUGAGCCUGGAGGAAGCCAACCAGACAGGAAAUAAAACUACUUGGGUGUGUGUGCUUGUGGAAGAGUUUUGGAAGACCACUGAUCCCUUGGGAAAACACUGAUUGGAUACAUUCAUGGCCAGAAACUAUUCAUGAGCUCAUUGGUGAGGAAGGCAGGUGGAGAUUGAUUUCCAAAUGAACUUAAGGAUGAGAUGGCAGGUAGGGUGUGGCUCUGAGGGGCCCUUGUCAAAGUGAUAAUGUAAGAGGAGUUCUAGUCAGGAUUUCCUGGAGUAAGGCCAGAGUUGAUGAACCUUAUUUUUAGAUAGUACUGAUAUUUUUAGUGAAAGUUCUACCAUUUUUUCAUUUUGGGGGGUGUGGAGGGAGAAGGGAUGAUUUCCUGGAAUGAGUCAUUUCCUCUCUACUGGUAAAAAGAUUUAGCCAAUGCUGCGAUAUCACAGGAAGUACCUGGAGAUGGUAAACACUGCUGACAUAAUGGGAACUCACACUGCUGAUGUGUCAGGACACACUUAUUCCUUCCUGGCCCCUCAGCCAGGUGAGCGGAGGAUGCUUCCUGUUUUUGGCUCACAGAGGACAUUUCCACUUCCGGGAGCUGCUCUGGAGAAUAAAUCACAAGAACUGCCAGAGUAAGCAGCCAGGGCUACAGACACUAGACAAUGAUUUGGUGGCAAGGAUUAUUGAAUAUGCCCUGGCAGCAUCUGAACUGCUGAGUCAUCUUACCCUUUGUGAGUUGUAGAUGGAAACCAAGUGGUUUUGGUUCCAAUACAUAAAGCAAACCUGAUCUGAAAUGUGAUCAUGUGCCAGAGAUGCCCUUAGUGCCUGGAUCUUAUCCAUUCCUAAAUCCAUUUAGCUGACCCCACUGAUUUCAUCUGAAGUCUCCUGUGAAUCUGGUUCCUCCACUCUCCCUCUGUGAUGUCAAUGCUGUCCAUCAUCCCUUGUAGCAAAUUUCCUGCUCUCCCUAACAAUGGUCUCUUCCAUGUGGUUCCUCCUCCCCUAUGCUGGUAGUAGAUGCAGGCCUGGGAAACUCAUAGCACACUCUGCACCACUUCCCUUCUCCCUUGCCUUGUCCAGAGCAGACAUUGCUAACUGGUCAUGACACGUUAACUGCUAAGCCCAGACACCAGUGACCACAUAGUCCAUCUUAACGUUGUCCUUCAUAAGCUCUCAUGACCAAUCAAUUGGAACUCCUCUUUUCUUCCUAAAACCUAAAAUUGAUUGUGAUUCUUCCCUGAUGGGAGACUUCCUCUGUCUUCCUAGUGUCUUCAGAAUGAAUUCCAAAUUCCCUGACAGGCGAGUAGACCUUUCACAAUCUCACUUCUCCCUACAGGAGAAUAUAGUUAUGGACUGGAGAUAAACAUACACAUCCUACACCUUUCCUCCCUCCUUCAGUUCCCACCUCCCCUUCUACACAGGAUUUGAUGAACUUUUCACUCUUUCUCAAAUACUGUACCCUUUGCUUUUGUAUAACUCUUCACUUUGCAGGGGCUGUUUCUAGAUUUUCCUUUUCUCUUGUCUCCAAACUCUCAUUUGUUUUCUCAAACCCUCGACAUUCCUCUUUUGUUAUGUUUCCAUAGUUCUACUCAGAAAUAUCGGUUCCUCCUCCUUCUCUGUUCUCAUAGGC